AAUGCUGACAUAAGUAACGAUAAAGCGGGUGAAAAGCCCGCUCGCCGGAAGACCAAGGGUUCCUGUCCAACGUUAAUCGGGGCAGGGUGAGUCGACCCCUAAGGCGAGGCCGAAAGGCGUAGUCGAUGGGAAACGGGUUAAUAUUCCCGUACUUGGUGUUACUGCGAAGGGGGGACGGAGAAGGCUAUGUUGGCCGGGCGACGGUUGUCCCGGUUUAAGCGUGUA
rnacentral:rRNA from 1 species